UAAGGGAUAUUGGUCAAUGGGCGGGAGCCUGAACCAGCCAUGCCGCGUGAGGGAUUGAGGCCCUACGGGUCGUAAACCUCUUUUGCCGGGGGAUAACGGGCGCCACGUGUGGCGCUGUGAAGGUACCCGGAGAAUAAGCAUCGGCUAACUCCGUGCCAGCAGCCGCGGUAAUACGGAGGAUGCGAGCGUUAUCCGGAUUUAUUGGGUUUAAAGGGUGCGUAGGCGGAUUAUUAAGUCAGCGGUGAAAGCGUGUGGCUCAACCAUACCGAGCCGUUGAAACUGGUAGUCUUGAGUGCAAAUGAGGUAGGCGGAAUGUGACGUGUAGCGGUGAAAUGCUUAGAUAUGUCCCAGAACUCCGAUUGCGAAGGCAGCUUACCAAGAUGUAACUGACGCUGAUGCACGAAAGCGUGGGUAUCAAACAGGAUUAGAUACCCUGGUAGU
rnacentral:rRNA from 1 species